UAGUUUGAUUGAUAUGGAUCAGAAUCUUA
rnacentral:piRNA from 1 species